rnacentral:rRNA from 1 species
GCUAAAUAAGAGCGUAUGGGGAAUGCCUAGGCUCUCAGAGGCGAUGAAGGACGUGAUAAGCUGCGAAAAGCUACGGGGAUUGGCACAUACAAAUUGAUCCGUAGAUAUCCGAAUGGGGCAACCCAGCAUGUUGAAGACAUGUUAUCCGCAAGGAGGCGAACCCGGAGAACUGAAACAUCUAAGUACCCGGAGGAGAAGAAAACAAAAGUGAUUCCGAUAGUAGCGGCGAGCGAAAUUGGAUUAGCCCAAACCAGUAUUGUUACGGCAAUGCUGGGGUUGUAGGACCACAAUAUUCGAUGCAUAAUGAAUUAGAACAGUUUGGAAAGACUGACCGAAGAGGGUGAUAGUCCCGUAUAAGUAAAGAUUGUUAAGAUAGUGGUAUCCUGAGUAGUGCGGGGCACGUGAAACCCUGUGUGAAUCAGUCGGGACCAUCCGAUAAGGCUAAAUACUCCUGAGAGACCGAUAGUGAACUAGUACCGUGAGGGAAAGGUGAAAAGAACCCUGAACAAGGGAGUGAAAAAGAUCCUGAAACCGUGUGUUUACAAGCGGUCGAAGCCUUAGGGCGACGGCGUGCCUUUUGCAUAAUGAUCCUACGAGUUACUCCUCAUUGGCAAGGUUAAGUCUUUAAGGGACGAAUCCGAAGCGAAAGCGAGUCUGAAUAGGGCGACAUAGUCAGUGGGGGUAGACGCGAAACCUUGUGAUCUACCCAUGGCCAGGUUGAAGUUUUGGUAACACAAAAUGGAGGACCGAACUCAUAUACGUUGAAAAGUGUUGAGAUGAGCUGUGGGUAGGGGUGAAAGGCCAAUCAAACUGGGAAAUAGCUCGUACUCCCCGAAAUGCAUUUAGGUGCAGCGUUCAGGUAGAGUAUUAUAGAGGUAGAGCUACUGAUAGGGCUAGGGGGCUUCACCGCCUACCAAACCCUGACAAACUCCGAAUGCUAUAAAAUGUUAAUCAGCAGUGAGGGCAUGGGUGCUAAGGUCCAUGUCCGAGAGGGAAAGAACCCAGACCAUCUGCUAAGGUCCCCAAAUGUAUGCUAAGUUGAUCAAACGUGGUCUGAUUGCUUUGACAGCUAGGAUGUUGGCUUGGAAGCAGCCAUUCAUUUAAAGAGUGCGUAACAGCUCACUGGUCGAGCGACAGGGCAUCGAUGAUGAUCGGGCAUUAAGUAUACCACCGAAGCUAAGGCAGUAUUUUAUACUGGGUAGGG